CUGGGCCUCUGUCUUUGAGUCUGUAACAGGGACAUAAUAAUAAUGCACAUUACAUGGGAUGUGCUGCAGGAUAGUGUAUGUAAAACUUUUAACUGGGCCUGCCACAAAGUACAUGCUCAGUUUAGUCAGUUCCUACUGUUAUUUCUAAGUUUUCAGUUAUUCAUUCAAUGAAUGCUUACUGAGCAUUUACUAUGAGCCAGGCACAAUUCUAGGCACUCUCCAAAUUCUCUCAAUCCUUCUAACGACUCUAUUAUUAUCCCCAUUUUACAACCAUGCAAACUGAGGCACAGUGAGGUCCAGUCACUUAUUCAAGGUCACACAGCUGGUAGGAAUUGGAACCUAGGUCUGUUGGUCUCUUUAAAUCCAGCUUUGAGUCAUGUACUUCCCCUUUAUAGUUCAAAGUCCUCCCCUCUCCCCAGCAGCAGCCCCUGUUAAAUAAAUCAUCCAGUAACGGUUUCUAAUUCCCAGACUUGGUUGCAAAUGAAUUAUUCACAUUGUAAGGCCUGCAAACCGCAAACUGGGCCUCAUUACCCAAGAAGGCCGCCUGCCCACAAGAUGCCGCUCCCUCCCCUGGGCUCCGGUCCUGGCGGGCCAGUCAGAAGUUGCCAGAGUUGGCGGGCGGGCGCCAGGGCCCAGUCCCUGAGCUCUGCUCUGGGAACUGGGAGGGGGGGUUUCCCUCCCCAUUUCCCAGCCUUUGCUUUCUAACAAGCUCCCAGUCUUAGGUUAAGAGAAGACCUGGGUUCUAGUCCCAGCUCUGCCCUGAGCAGCUGCGUGACCUCAAGCAGGUGGCUUACCCUCUCUGAGCUUCCAAGGCAGACUAAGCUUGCCCUCACUGGGGCACAGGGCCCCACUUGACACAUUCUCUUCUAUCUGUGGGCUGAGGCUUGUGCCACCUGGCCAGGCCCUGUCCUGGAUGCUGAGGACAAAGCUUCUGUCCAGCAUGUGAAUGAAACUGUGGCAUGAGUCAGAGCCCAGGCCGAUCCUAGAAGGUGCUGUCUCCAGAGAUCCUCUUCAGGGCACAGCUGCUGCGACUGUUGACUGCUGGUUCCUCCCGGAGUUGUGCCCUACUGCCUGGGGCAACCCUUGGCCAGGGACUGACCAGUGUCGGGUGCUACAAACGCCUGCCUCCACCGGAACAAUUGUGAAGGACCAGCCACUCGCAGGGUCCCCACAGGGGCCUCUGGUGCGAGCUCAUUGUGGGUCAGUUUCUCCUGCAUCUCCCCACUGCCUUCCCGGUGGAUCUGCUGCGGGCACAGCCCAGGAAACCCUCAGCUCAGAGGCUGGAGACUCGUCACAGACAGGGCCAGUCCUGGCACUCAAUGAGACCCGAUCCAAAUCACCAGCAGAUUCCUAACUCCCAGGCUGGCUGAGCCUAGUUUCUGCCCCAGCCAAGCUCAGAUCCCAGUCCCAGGUUGAGCCCUGACGUCAGUCACAGGCUGAAUCCAGAUGCUAACUGAUCCCUAAUCUUAUUGCAGACUAAGCGCUGAUCUCGAUCCCAGGCUGAUCUCCAGGCCUGUUCCAAGUUCUGAUCCUGAUCAGAUUGAGCCCAGCGUUCACAGAAAGCAGGGCACCUAUGGAGACCCAUGGAGAUGGGACAGAGGGUGGUAAGUGGGAGACAGGAGGAGCCUGGAGUCCAGGUUAGACUGAGAACAGAACCAGACUAACAGCCCGUCAGCCAGAAGACCAGAGGCCCAGAACUUCAGUUCACAGAGAGGUCUUCUCCAAAAACACCCAAACAGGGGUUUCCUCUUGGUGGAAGAACCAAAAUCUGAACCAAGGAUGGUAAGAAGGCUCCUCAGAGCUGCCAUUCUGGAGCAGGGUGGGUGUCCCAUGCAUUAAGCCACGGUAUUCCUCUGGGUCCCCACUGCCCCUCAGAAUAACCCUGUGGAUUGAAUUAUUACCCAUUUUACAGAAAAGAGAGUUGAGGCUCGAGAAGCAAAUGACCUGCCUCUUGCCUCCGUCGUGGGAGAAUCAGCACUCGGGCCCUUGACCUCCCUGUACUUUGGUGGGGUCUAGGUGCAGGCAGUUACAGUCUCCUGAAGAGAGGCCUAGGGCUUGCAGUCCCUCUGCCACGCGACUUAGCUGUUGGCUAAGUCCUGAGCCUGCCCAAGGCAGGAGAGGAGCCAGGGAAGAGAAAGGCGCUGGCUAGCAUGGCAGGUGAGGAAACUGAGGUCCAGAAAGGGGAUCCCACUUGUCGGGCUCACAGAGCUGAGACCUGCCCCCAGAACCCCCAUGCUCGGCCUCCCGCCCUGUGUUCCUUCACCUGCACAGGAGAAUGAAGGCCGUCCAUCACCCCUCGUCCAUCCAUCGUCCACCUACCCGCCCCCCGGGUCAGCAGCCGGUCCGUAGCGUCCUCCGUGUGCCAAGUCUGGGCAAAUUCCGCAGGCGGAGUGGAGACCCGAGGCAGAGCCCGUGGACUCUCAGGGGACCCACAGAUUAAACAAACAUGCCGCAGAAAGAAACGCAUCGCCGAGUGCUGAGAGCCGCCCAGGAUGUAACCAGGCCUCUCCCUCUCGGGGUGCUCCCGGCCCCAGGGAGCUCCAGGCAGAAACCCUGCAGAGAGCACCCAGGGCUUAGCCUCAGGGGACAGGGGCUUCGAGAAAAGCAGGAAUACUCCCCCAGGGAGUCAGGCAGCUUGGUGAGGCUGCAGCCAGGCCACCUGACCACUGCGACCACUGACCACUGCGAGGAGAAGCCCUCCAGGGGGCCUUGUCUGCAGCAGGAGGUGGGAAAAUGGAGUCCCAGAGAGCAACGGGGGAGCUGUAAUUCACCAGGCUACGAGCAUCUAAAUCAAUGAACUAAUUAAUGAGUAAACGAGCGAAGAAGAGGCUCACCUAGGGGGAGCAAGAGUGAGAAAUGUGGCCACACAGUGUGCAGGGACACCCUGUGUGCGACUGGAAGCACGGUGAAUUUCGAAAUCUGGGCAGGGGCAAUGGGGAGCCACUGAUGGUUUCUGAGCUGGGAGAGGAUGGCCCAGGCCAGGUCCUCAGGUCCCUCGGUGCUGCCCCGGGGCCAUCUGUCUCCACCUCCUACACUCUGCCACUCUUUGCAUCCAUGUCCCCCACCCUCCGCCCCCACUGCCUCUCAGCCACUGUGAGGAACCAUGUGUGACGGUGGAGAAUGUAAAAAUAUACGAAAAACAACAAGGGCGACUGCGCUCGGCUAUAAAUACCCUGACGGCGGAAUCGCUCCUCCAGUCCCCUUCCUGCUGCCUGAGGAGCGGGGGCUUGGUGUUCGGCAGGUGGAGAGGGGGACUCAGGAAGGGAGGAAGGAACGGGAAUGACCGCUUGCAGACCUACUUUGUGCCAAGCGCUUUGCAAGCCUUGUCCUCACGAAACCCUGACAGUGACUCACUCCUGAUCCCCUCUUUACAGAUAAGGAAACUGAAGCACGAGAAGUAGGUCAUCUGGCCAAGGCCACUCAGUCACACGGCCUGGGAGGGAGCCGGGCAGCUGGAGCUCCUGCAAGCUCCGCCUGGCGGGAGAGGCCAAGCCGGCCUCCGGCCAGCUCUGCAAGCAGAGGAGGCCGCCUGGGGUCCCUCCAAGGUCCGAGAGGGCCCACGGUCCCAGGUGCCCGCGGCUUCCACCCCUUCCAUGGCUCCCCAUCGCCCUGGGCCAAAGGACAUGCUCCUGGGUGCGGCCCUGGGGUGCUGUGGUCUGCCCUCUGCCCACGUCCCUGUGGGUGCCCGGGUCUCUGAGCCACGGCCACGUGGACCCUCUAAGGGGAGCUUCACAGGACUGAGCCUCUCUCUGUCGGUCCUUGCCACUUCAUUUUCCGGGGCUAGGUCACCCUUGGUGCCACCUCCUCAGGGAAGACACCAGGCUUCCUCCACUGCCCUGAGGGCCCUCCCCCAGGACCCCAGGCCCGGUCCCAAUCUUGAGGGCUUCUCAGUGGCCAGGGGAGGAAGGUGCCUCCUCUGGUGAGUGGCCAGGGCUGUGGUGGCAGCAGUGUGACCUGGCCUUGGAGACCGGCUGGAGGUGUGGGGUGCAGGGCCCUGGAGGGGAGUCAGCACUGGGGCGCUGGGAAGAGGAAAGAAAAUGGAGGCGGGAGGGACAGGAAGGGACUCCUGGGGCCCCUGCUGGGGGACACACAGGGUGCUGACUGAGGACAGAAAUGAACUGGCUCCAUCUCUGGGCCUUCAUCCUGCUCCCGGCCCAUUCCCCCUCUGGCCAGGGGGCUGAAAGGCGAGUGGGAGGUUGUUCCCUUCAGGGCCGUCCCCCCCCCCACCCCAGGGCCAGCGCAGCCCACGGAAAGAUCGCGGGAGCCGCUGGAGCAAGUUGGAAUUUUAACUUUCCAGGAGUCCCUUUUUAAAAAAAUAAAGGAAAAGCAAAUUGAAGUUAGUUUUAACAUUUUAUUUAACCCAAUAUGCUCCAAAUAUUCUUUCUAUAUAUGAUCAAGAUAAAAAAUUAUUGAGACAUGUUCCUUUCUUUUUUUUUUAAUACUAAGUCUUCCAGAUCCAGUGUGUGUUUUACACUGACCACCCUCAGUGUGGAGCAGCUGUGGGUCCACUGCCCAGUAGCCACGUGGCCAGCAGCUGCUGUACUGGACCGCACGGCUCUGGAUGUGAAGCCCCUGAGAGUCAGGACUGUGAUGAGACCCACCAUUAUGAUCUCCAGGGUCUGGUGCAUAGGGGAUGGUCAGGAGGUGUUUGUUGAUUGACUGACUGAAUGAAUCAAUGUCCAAGAUCUUAAAGGACCUAAAGGGAGGCUGUCAACUCAGGCCAUGGGAAGAGCGUGGAGAUGAGUCUAGUCUCACAUUCGUCUCCAAUUCUCUGAGUCCUGCCCCUCCCCAGACCACAGUUCCCCCAUCUGGGUUGGAUGUGGUGACUUCUCUGAGCUCUCUCUAGAGGAAUGUCCCCUCAGUGUCCCUGCCCUGCUCCACCUCACGACCCUGUCCUCCCUCUCCCUGUGUGUGAGACGAGGUCUCCGGAAAGGCCCCGGGUGACCUUCUGUACAGAGGGGACCAGACCCCACAGGGGGAAGCUGAGGAAGAGCAGCUGCCACACACUGCCUGGGCACAGGGAACGAGGACCUGUGGGUGCUGACACCUCCGUCACCCCACACCCCACAGGGGUCCAGAGCUGGGAGGAGAGUGGGGCCGGCUUGUCGCUCUGAUUCUGCAGGAGUGAAACAGGAGGGCCAAGGGGCCAGAGAGCAGGUCCCGGGGCAGGAGAGGACUGACCCUUUGCCUGGGAACCCUGUUUUCCUCCUCCAAAGUCUGGGUACAAAACCUGGCUUCUUCCUGUCAGCGCCUCGAAUCCAGGUUCCGCUACCUAACAGCCCGCUGGCCUUGGAAAGACGCUUUACUUAGCCUCAGUGGCCUUAUUUGUUCAAGGGAUCCUAAUAUCAGCAACCACAGGAAUCUCUGAGCCCUUGAAACGUGUCCCCACACAGGAGCCCACGGGGUGCCUGGGACACGGUCAGGGCACCUUGAGGCCAUCGUGAACUCCAGAGUCGCGUUCCUUGGCGGCGGCAGGACGACUGUUGUGGAUUCAGAAUCCCAGGUGGCUUUGGAGACCAUAAAGCCCUUUGUGAGGACUUUCGAGACUGUUGAGAGCCGUGCACGUCGGGGACCAAGUGGCCUUUCAAAGACAUGGGCAAGAAGUGGGGUGGGCGAGGGGAGGGGAGACGCAGCCCCUCCCUGUGCCCGGGAGAUUCCAGCCGUCUGCAGAUUCCUGCGAUUCUGCUCCAGGCCAGAGCGGCCUCUGCGCUGACUCAGCGCGGCCCAGGGAUGGCGAUGGCGGGACCUGCCCAGCUUCCUCGCACUCACGCCUUGUUUUCUUUCUGCCACAAAAGCCAUGAACUUGACAUCCUUUGAAGAUUUCCUUACUGGGCUGAGGGGGCGGGGAGCUCCAGGCCUCUGGUGACCUUGCUCCGACGUCUUGGGGCUGCUCCCCACCAAGGAAGGAUCGCGGGCGCCAGGGCUGAGGGCAGGUGGGGGCCACUGCCUCGGAGCCACUAUGGGGCCAGCACAGGGAAGGUCCGGCUUCCAAGGCCACCUUCUCAUCUGUGACCGUGGGCGAGUUCUUUUCCCUCUCUAAGCCUGAGUCCCUCAACUGUCACAUGGGGUCAGUGAUGCUCAUCUUGUGUUUGCGUCAUUCAGUGGCUUGGUAUGCAGGCAAGUUCUGUCCCUGCGUCCGCCCACAGGCCUGAGGGCCUUCUAAUAAGGGAGAGGCGAAUGGCAAGGCAGCUUCUGGAGGCUAGGGAUUAUGAGCACGGGUUUCCAAAUCAGGAAGAUCUGAGUUUGAAUCUUGCCUCUGCAACAUACCAGCUGUGUGUUUUUAGGCAAGUCACAUUCCCUCUCUGAGCCUCAAUAUCCUCUGCUAUAAAACUGGCACAAUAAUAUAGUCUCUACCUCAUAAAAUGUUGGCAGGAGGACUGGGAAUGUGGCUCAGUGGUAGAGUGCUUGCCUGGCACGUGCAAGGCCCUGGGCCCAGUUCCCAGCACCACAAACAGAACAAAACCAGAAAUGUCUGCAAGGGUUCAGAGACAUGGUCCUAUGGCGGGUGGCACAGGGAGCCUGGAAGAGGAGAGCUGCUCAACGAGUGGCGCCCACUCCCCUCCCCAAACUGCAGCCCUUUCUCCCCGCUGCCUCGGUGCCUCGGCACAUUUGCAGGUGUUAGAUAAAAGCGUCUGGGCCAGUCAGCACCCUGCACCUGGGGCCUCCUCGACCCCCCUUGAACUUCUCUGGUACAGUCCCCCUCCUUGUCCCUGCCCGGCCCAUGUCUCUGUGUGCUGUUGACCCUGCUCCUGUUGGGACUCAGCUCCUUUGAGCCCCUCCCUACAACCACGCACAAGCACCCUUUUCACAGGGAGGAGAGUCUACACUGUAGGCACACAAGUGAGCUGAACAAGCCCCGUCAGGAUUGUCACUGCUGUGCAGUCUGCCUGCCCUCUGAGUGCAUCCCUGGCUUGCUCCGUCCUACCGUCACUAGUCCAUAGAUUCCCUGGGGGCCAGGGCUAUGGCCUUCAUCCACUGUGUCCCAGCACCCAGCACAGUCAGUACCUGGCCCACAGUCAGUGGGUAGCUCGGAACUACCAAACACAGGGUGAGUAAAUGGAUAAAUGAGAGGGAAAGAGAUCACUGAGGCAGGGGUGAACUGCAUGGCUGUCCAGCGCCCUCAGCUGACUGUUAGGGUCUGUAAACAAGUCAAGAUGGCGCCUGGCAUUUUGCCAGAGGGAGUGGUUUGUGAAGUAACGCCAGCGAGCCAUUAAGUGUGGAGAUUCCUUAUUGGUUGACUGCUAUAUCUAGUUUAUGUUAAUUAAGAUACGAUGUGUGGAAUGUAUAUAUACCCCUCCUGUCCUACGAUAAAUGGCUCCCACUCCUGCUGUAUCAAUGUACACAAGUUGUUCGUCACCCCACGGUUAGUUUGCUACAGCCGGACUGCGGCAGCUGUCAAAGGUCAGUUGUGGGCCAUGGGAACUGUAUGAGUCAGCUUCUUGUUACUGUAAUGGAAUGCCUGAGGCAGUCUAACUUUACAAAGAAUAAAGGUCCAUUUGGCUUCCAGUUCUGGACAGUCUUGGGCAUCAUGAUGGCA